GGAGGAAUAUUGGUCAAUGGGCGAGAGCCUGAACCAGCCAAGUAGCGUGCAGGACGACGGCCCUAUGGGUUGUAAACUGCUUUUAUAUGGGGAUAAAGUGAGUUACGUGUAGCUUAUUGCAGGUACCAUAUGAAUAAGGACCGGCUAAUUCCGUGCCAGCAGCCGCGGUAAUACGGAAGGUCCAGGCGUUAUCCGGAUUUAUUGGGUUUAAAGGGAGCGUAGGCCGCCCCUUAAGCGUGUUGUGAAAUGCCGCGGCUCAACCGUGGCACUGCAGCGCGAACUGGGGGGCUUGAGUGCACGCAACGCAGGCGGAAUUCGUGGUGUAGCGGUGAAAUGCUUAGAUAUCACGAAGAACUCCGAUUGCGAAGGCAGCUUGCGGGAGUGCGACUGACGCUGAAGCUC
rnacentral:rRNA from 1 species